UACGGAGGGUGCAAGCGUUAUCCGGAUUCACUGGGUUUAAAGGGUGCGUAGGAGGGCAGGUAAGUCAGUGGUGAAAUCUCCGAGCUUAACUUGAACUGCCGUUGAUACUAUCUGUCUUGAAUAUUGUGGAGGUGAGCGGAAUAUGUCAUGUAGCGGUGAAAUGCUUAGAUAUGACAUAGAACACCAAUUGCGAAGGCAGCUCGCUACACAUAUAUUGACUCUGAGGCACGAAAGCGUGGGGAUCAA
rnacentral:rRNA from 1 species